AACACUUCCCAAUUGGGAGGCCAAGCAAGAAAUAAGUCAGAAUAAGAUAACCAUGACUAGGACCAAACAACGACGACGACAAGAACAACAACAACAACAACAUAGAGGCACAAACACAAAACGGAACAGUGCACAUGGUAGGUGAUAUAAAUGUGCCAAAUGAAUGAAGAAAACAAUAAGCUGAAGCUGGAAAAAUCAAGUGUCAAGACAGAAGACUCCUCUCUAGACUCUUCCAAGCUGCUGAAACAAACGUCUACGUUGUUUUUUUAAGGUGGCUGCAUCAAAUCCUAACAUCUCUACCUCACACUUCCUUCUCCUCCCUUCAGUUAAAGGAUGAUGGAAUCAAGCCAAGUGAGCCCAAACCCUGGAUCCAACACCUAUCAAGUAUGUGACUCUGGCUUGUGCUCAACUCUGUACCAGCAGAGAAUCCAGCGCUCAAAAUACUGCCACAUGGACCCACUUGGAAUACCCAAAUGCUGCC